CCCAAUCCUAUCCAUAGAUCCAGCCAUUCCAGCGGCAGCCUCUCCUCCGGGCUGCACGCGAGGAGGCCGCACCAGCCACUCCGGUAGCCUGCCCAGCCACCAGGCGCGCAGCGCACCGCCGCCUCCUCCUUCGUCCCACCCCCUCCGUCGAUGCGCGGCCGGGACUCGGGAGCCCUGCCGGGAGCCGCCGGGAGGUGUCGUCACGCGGCCGGGAGUCGGGAGCGCCGCCUGUAGCCAUUCUCGCGCCGCCGGGAGGUGUCGUCGCGCGGCUGUGGGAGUCUGCAGCCGUCGCCGCGCCGCCGCCUAGUCCUAGCUCUCUCUCCCUAGCUCCUCCCUCCACAUUCCCCCGCCGCCACCACCCCCUCUCCCUCUCUCAAAUCUGACGCGCGCCACCACAUGCUUGGCCACCUUGCCUACACCAGGGGAGAGGCGGCGCUGGCAAGGCUGAAGGCGUACGAGGGCGUGCCGCCGCCGUACGACAGGACCAAGCGCAUGGUCAUCCCCGACGCGCUCAAGGUUCUGAGGCUGCAGCCUGGGCACAAGUACUGCCUCCUCGGCCAGCUCUCCAAGGAGGUUGGCUGGAACUACUAUGGCACUAAACAUGCUUAAAACAUACAGCGGAUCUGGAUAUUAGGAGUAUCUGUUGGAAUUUGGAAGUCUACACACUAUGCCGGUUCAGGCUAGCUGUGACGGGCCUAAACCGUCACCUCUGACGGAUUCAGCCCCUCGUCAGAGAUUAAUGGUCAGUGAUGACUCUCCUCACCUUUGACGGGUGAAGGCCCGUCAGUGGUGACCAGCCCGUAUAGAACCCGUCACAGAUAUGCCGUCAAAGGUGUGAGGAUCUGGCGUAGUGACAAGAAGAAGAAAUUCGCAUUGACAGAGCAAAGCAUUCCAAGAACGAUAAUAAGAAUGAAUCCUUCUAAGCAAAAUGAUGAAGAAAACACUGAACAUUUUUUGUUCAAGCAAAGGGUAUAACAGCUCCAUUAAUGUGCAUGGAGAAAAGCAACAGUUCACUUCAUAUAUCUGUUCAAGAGUACUUCUUUCGGUGUAUAUAUAAAAUAGUUCCAUUAUAUGUGUAUGGACAAAAAAACACUGGUCCAGUAACUAGAUCCAUAAGUAUGUCUGUGUCAUUCAGAUGGAGCUCUAUCAAAAGCUCUGAAGCUAGCUAAUACAUAGGAGUAUAUUGAUGGACUACUCUUUGGAAUCUUGGAGACAAUAUAAGAUGCCUAGGAGGACUACAUUGAGGUUGUUGCAGAGUAUGGUUGGCUGAGUUGGACAUUGAUUUUUUUUUUUUUGCUGAGUUAUUUGUGGGUGGACCUAGUGUGGACUUAGUGAAUCUAGUUUGCUCUUGUGGCUGCAUUUGUUAAGUUAACCUAGGAGGCUAGGACCUUAUUUUGAUAUCUAGGAUCUGGUGGAAUUGAACCUAGUUUGCAAUUGUAGCUGGAUUUAUUUUGCUAUGGUAUGUACUGAUGUGAGGAUACAUGUGAAUGGGCUUUGAUUGUAUGUGAUUGGGCUUUACCUGUAUGUGUUUGGGAUGAUAAAUGGACUUGUGCUAUAUUGAAUGAUAAUUGGGCCUUUAUGUAUUAUGAUA